AACACAAAGGCAAGGGUAGAAUGGUGAUUUCACUUUAUUAUCCGAUGCUGAUGCGUGCGGUGGAUCAAUGGACUUAAAAGAUCUUUUCGCCAAACAAAAAUCUCUUAUCUUUUCAUUUUCAGAUCGCAGUUUUCCUUUCCAAUUCCCACGCGAUCUUUUAUUACUAUAUCCCAAUAACAAUAAAAUUUGAAACACUUUCUCCAAAUUGAAACUAAAGUCACAACCAGAUUUUUCAAUUUUCAUGCUUGUUGCGGUGAUCGGCCACUGAUUCUUCAAGGUUUUUGGUGUAGAUAGAUAGAAUGGGUUCUCUUAAAGGGCCAGUUGUUUGCCACACUGUCCUUGCGAAGGUGUGCAGUGUUCCUAUGCCUAUGAACGCUCGGUGUGUUAGAAGUGAUUUUUGGGGACUCGCUUGUACCAAACCUAAGGCCAGUGUGCUUUCUUGCCACAUAAACGCGCGAAAGUGCAAGACUGUGCAUUGCAGUUUCAACUUGCCCUCUGAUGGCACCGGAAACAUGGCUGAGAAUUUUGAUGAAAAGGAUGAAGAUUAUGUUAACUCCAGUGUUGUUGAAGCUGUUGAGGUGAAGAGUGGGGCAGAUGGUUUCCUGAUUAAAAUGAGGGAUGGUAGACAAUUGCGAUGCACCCAUAAUAACCCUCAUGGAGGACUUCUUCCAGAUUAUGCACCCCAUCCUGCUAUUGUGUUGAAGAUGGAGGAUGGGACUGGUCUACUUCUCCCCAUAAUUGUUUUGGAGAUGCCUAGCGUCUUACUGAUGGCAGCAGUGCGCAAUGUUCAAAUAGCUAGACCUACUUUAUACCAAGUAGUGAAGGAGAUGAUUGACAAGAUGGGUUACGAAGUCAGAGUUGUCAGAGUUACAAAGAGAGUUCACGAAGCAUAUUUUGCCCAGUUAUACCUUUCCAAGGUCGGAAAUGAGGCGGUAUGUAUGAGCUUUGACCUUCGACCUUCGGAUGCUAUCAACAUUGCGGUGAGAUGCAAGGUGCCUAUACAAGUCAACAAGUAUUUGGCAUACAGUGAUGGAAUGAGAGUAAUUGAAUCAGGCAAACUGUCAACACAAUCUCCUGGUUCAGAUGGCAUAUUGUUUACUGAAUUGGACCGCCCAAGUGGUAAGCCUUGUAUUGAAACCAAGGAGUUCAAUCUUUUGCACAACAUGUUGAAAGCUGUUGUAGAAGAGCGCUAUCAAGAUGCUGGUUUUAUAUUGUCACUUUUACCAGUUUGAGCAGUCAACCUCUUUAUGGAGAGACAAACUCAAUCAACUUAGGGCUGGAAAAAAUGUAAACAACAGAUCAUGGACACUGUAAAUUGUAUAUACAAUCCUACUCCAACAUUAGAAUGUCAACGGGAAUCGGUAGAGCUUAUAACUGUCAUAUCUUUCCCUUCUUCCGCUUAUUACACGCUUAAUAUAUCUGUGAAUAUUUGUGUAUAUAUGUAAACAUUAAUACCAAUGCCUCAUCAAAACUUUAUUCUGCUUUUCCAGUACUUGUUUCAUUUCUCGAGUUGUUCAUAUGUAUUCUGGUUCACCCAUUGGACGCAGCAUGUUGCUGAUGGUUGUGUUUCAGGGUUAGGAAAAAUAUUUGGGAUGCUUAAAUAAAAUGCUGUUAAAAUAA